UACGAAGGGGGCUAGCGUUGCUCGGAUUGACUGGGCGUAAAGGGCGCGUAGGCGGUUUGUACAGUCAGACGUGAAAUUCCCGGGCUCAACCUGGGGGCUGCGUUUGAUACGUGCGGACUUGAGUUCGGAAGAGGGUCGUGGAAUUCCCAGUGUAGAGGUGAAAUUCGUAGAUAUUGGGAAGAACACCGGUGGCGAAGGCGGCGACCUGGUCCGAUACUGACGCUGAGGCGCGAAAGCGUGGGGAGCAAACAGG
rnacentral:rRNA from 1 species